rnacentral:tRNA from 1 species
CCUGGUAGCUCAGACGGUAAAGCAUCUGCCUGCAAUGCGGGAGACCUGGGUUCUAUCCCAGGGUCAGGA